rnacentral:misc_RNA from 1 species
AGUCGUAACAAGGUCUCCGUAGGUGAACCUGCGGAGGGAUCAUUACACAAAUAUGAAGGCGGGCUGGAACCUCUCGGGGUUACAGCCUUGCUGAAUUAUUCACCCUUGUCUUUUGCGUACUUCUUGUUUCCUUGGUGGGUUCGCCCACCACUAGGACAAACAUAAACCUUUUGUAAUUGCAAUCAGCGUCAGUAACAAAUUAAUAAUUACAACUUUCAACAACGGAUCUCUUGGUUCUGGCAUCGAUGAAGAACGCAGCGAAAUGCGAUAAGUAGUGUGAAUUGCAGAAUUCAGUGAAUCAUCGAAUCUUUGAACGCACAUUGCGCCCUUUGGUAUUCCAAAGGGCAUGCCUGUUCGAGCGUCAUUUGUACCCUCAAGCUUUGCUUGGUGUUGGGCGUCUUGUCUCUAGCUUUGCUGGAGACUCGCCUUAAAGUAAUUGGCAGCCGGCCUACUGGUUUCGGAGCGCAGCACAAGUCGCACUCUCUAUCAGCAAAGGUCUAGCAUCCAUUAAGCCUUUUUUUCAACUUUUGACCUCGGAUCAGGUAGGGAUACCCGCUGAACUUAAGCAUAUCA